rnacentral:pre_miRNA from 1 species
AUGGUACUCCCUCCGUCCGGAAAUACUUGUCAUCAAAAUGGAUAAGAAGAGAUGUAUCUAGACGUAUUUUAGUUCUAGAUACAUCCCUUUUUAUCCAUUUUGAUGACAAGUAUUUUCGGACGGAGGGAGUAAAAC